UGUCGCCUACGGGAGGCAGCAGUGGGGAAUAUUGCACAAUGGGGGAAACCCUGAUGCAGCGACGCCGCGUGAGUGAAGAAGUAUUUCGGUAUGUAAAGCUCUAUCAGCAGGGAAGAAGCAAGACGGUACCUGACUAAGAAGCCCCGGCUAACUACGUGCCAGCAGCCGCGGUAAUACGUAGGGGGCAAGCGUUAUCCGGAUUUACUGGGUGUAAAGGGAGCGUAGACGGUAUGGCAAGUCUGAUGUGAAAGCCUUCGGCUUAACCGGAGUAGUGCAUUGGAAACUGGGAGACUUGAGUGCAGAAG
rnacentral:rRNA from 1 species